rnacentral:rRNA from 1 species
AGUCGAGCGAAGCACCUUGACGGAUUUCUUCGGAUUGAAGCCUUGGUGACUGAGCGGCGGACGGGUGAGUAACGCGUGGGUAACCUGCCUCAUACAGGGGGAUAACAGUUGGAAACGGCUGCUAAUACCGCAUAAGCGCACAGUACCGCAUGGUACGGUGUGAAAAACUCCGGUGGUAUGAGAUGGACCCGCGUCUGAUUAGGUAGUUGGUGGGGUAACGGCCUACCAAGCCGACGAUCAGUAGCCGACCUGAGAGGGUGACCGGCCACAUUGGGACUGAGACACGGCCCAAACUCCUACGGGAGGCAGCAGUGGGGAAUGUUGCACAAUGGGGGAAACCCUGAUGCAGCGACGCCGCGUGAGCGAUGAAGUAUUUCGGUAUGUAAAGCUCUAUCAGCAGGGAAGAAAAUGACGGUACCUGACUAAGAAGCCCCGGCUAACUACGUGCCAGCAGCCGCGGUAAUACGUAGGGGGCAAGCGUUAUCCGGAUUUACUGGGUGUAAAGGGAGCGUAGACGGCAUGGCAAGCCAGAUGUGAAAGCCCGGGGCUCAACCCCGGGACUGCAUUUGGAACUGUCAGGCUAGAGUGUCGGAGAGGAAAGCGGAAUUCCUAGUGUAGCGGUGAAAUGCGUAGAUAUUAGGAGGAACACCAGUGGCGAAGGCGGCUUUCUGGACGAUGACUGACGUUGAGGCUCGAAAGCGUGGGGAGCAAACAGGAUUAGAUACCCUGGUAGUC